rnacentral:misc_RNA from 1 species
AUUCAAUUCUUUUUAACUUUAAAAAAAAAUCAUUUUAAAAGAUCAACUGAAAAAGAAAAGAGCGAAUGCUCACGUAGCAAUGAGGAAAAACCAAUCGCAAAACAUUUUCAAAUCAUUUCCAAUUCCUCCAAUCAUCAAGUAAUCCACAGAAAACAAUUCAACCUAAAUCACACACUUAUCUGUAUAGUUGCCGUUGCCGAGGCAAUUAAAAUGAGAAAAAGAAUCCAAAUCUUCCAAUGCUUUGAAAACAUUUUCUUGGCAAUCAAAUAGUUAAUUCGAACGCACAGAAGCAGCAGCAGCAAAGAAACAGAUUUCAAAUGAAGAUAGAUUGGAAAGGAAGUUCUCGAUUCCAUGCAUCAGAAGAUAUUGAAAAGGAGGGAAAGAGAGGGAAAGCAAAAAUUAGGGUUUCGAAAAUCGAAACUUACCGACAGAGAAAAGAAAAUGAGGUU